rnacentral:rRNA from 1 species
UGUGCGGCGAUGGUUCAUUCAAAUUUCUGCCCUAUCAACUUUCGAUUGUAGAGUAGUGGUCUACAAUGGUUUCAACGGGUAACGGGGAAUUAGGGUUCUAUUCCGGAGAGGGAGCCUGAGAAACGGUACCACAUCCAAGGAAGGCAGCAGGCGCGCAAAUUACCCAAUCCCGACACGGGGAGGUAGUGACAAUAAAUACUGAUACAGGGCUCUUUUGGGUCUUGUAAUUGGAAUGAGUACAAUUUAAAUCCCUUAACGAGGAACAAUUGGAGGGCAAGUCUGGUGCCAGCAGCCGCGGUAAUUCCAGCUCCAAUAGCGUAUAUUAAAGUUGUUGCAGUUAAAAAGCUCGUAGUUGAACCUUGGGCCUGGCUGGCCGGUCCGCUCACCGGUGCACUUGGUCCGGCCGGGUCUUUCCUUCUGAGGAGCCGAUGCCCUUCACUGGGUGUGUCGGGGAACCAGGACUUUUACUUUGAAACAACAUUAGAGUGUUCAAAGCAGGCCUAUGCUCGAAUACAUUAGCCAUGGAAUAAUAGAAUAGGACGUGUGGUCCUAUCGGGUUCUAGGACCGCCGUAAUUGUUUAUAGGGAUAGUCCGGGGCCUCAGUAUUC